rnacentral:rRNA from 1 species
GACGGAGGGUGCUAGCGUUUUUCGGAAUUACUGGGCGUAAAGGGCGCGUAGGCGGCCAUGUAAGUCGGGUGUGAAAGCCCGGGGCUCAACCCCGGAACGGCACCCGAGACUGCGUGGCUCGAGACCGGAAGAGGUGAGUGGAAUACCCAGUGUAGAGGUGAAAUUCGUAGAUAUUGGGUGGAACACCGGUGGCGAAAGCGGCUCACUGGUCCGGUUCUGACGCUGAGGCGCGAAAGCGUGGGGAGCAAACAGG